UACGUAGGGUGCAAGCGUUGUCCGGAAUUACUGGGCGUAAAGAGCUCGUAGGUGGUUUGUCGCGUUGUUCGUGAAAACUCACAGCUCAACUGUGGGCGUGCGGGCGAUACGGGCAGACUAGAGUACUGCAGGGGGAGACUGGAAUUCCUGUGUAGCGGUGGUGAAUGCGCAGAUAUCAGGAGGAACACCGGUGGCGAAGGCGGGUCUCUGGGCAGUAACUGACGCUGAGGAGCGAAAGCGUGGGGAGCGAACAGG
rnacentral:rRNA from 1 species